rnacentral:rRNA from 1 species
GAUGAACGCUGGCGGCGUGCCUAAUACAUGCAAGUCGAGCGAACGGACGAGAAGCUUGCUGCUCUGAUGUUAGCGGCGGACGGGAGAGAAACACGUGGAUAACCUCCCUAUAAGACUGGGAUAACUUCGGGAAACCGGAGCUAAUACCGGAGAAUAUUUUGCACCGCAUGGGUCAAUAGAGAAUGACGGUGGUGCUGUCAGUAAUCGCUGGAUCGGCGCUGCAUUAGCUAGUAGGUAAGGUAAAGGCUUACUAAGGCAAGGAUGCAUAGCCGACCUGAUAGGCUGGUCGGCCACAUGGGAACUGAGACACGGUCCAUGCGCCUACGGGAGGCAGCAGUAGGGUAUCUUCCGCAAUGGGCGAAAGCCUUACGGAGCGACGCCGCGUGAGUGAUGAAGGCCUUCGGAUCGUAAUGCUCUGCUAUGAGGUAAGAACAUAUGUGUAAGUAACUGUGCACAGCUUGACGGUACCUAAUCAGAAAGCACCGGCUAACUACGUG